rnacentral:rRNA from 1 species
GUAGUUAGCCGGGGCUUCCUCUCAGGGUACCGUCUUCUCCUCUUCCCCUGUCACAGAGAUUUACAACCCGAAGGCCUUCUUCUCUCACGCGGCGUCGCUAGGUCAGACUUUCGUCCAUUGCCUAAUAUUCCCCACUGCUGCCUCCCGCAGGAGUCUGGACCGUUUCUCAGUUCCAGUGUGGCCGAUCUGCCUCUCAGCACGGCUACCCAUCGUAGGUUUGGUGGGCCGUUACCUCACCAACUGCCUAAUGGGACGCGAGCCCCUCUUCAAGCGGAUUUCUCCUUUGACCCCUCUCCGAUGUCGGAGUGUGGUCUUACGCGGUAUUAGCCUUGAUUUCUCAAAGUUGUCCCCCUCUUCGAAGACAGGUUGCUCACGCGUUACUCACCCGUCCGCCACUAAGAUAUGUUCCGCAGCAAGCUGCUUUCCAUAUCUCCGUUCGACUUGCAUGUGUUAAGCGCGCCGCCAGCGUUCGUCCUGAGCCAUGAUCAAACUCUGA